rnacentral:tRNA from 1 species
GGGGGUGCAGCUCAGUGGUAGAGCAAACCAUGAGCUAAGAAACAUGAGGCUCUGGGUUCAAUCCCCAGCACAAUUA